UACGUAGGGUGCAAGCGUUGUCCGGAAUUAUUGGGCGUAAAGAGCUCGUAGGCGGUUUGUCGCGUCUGCUGUGAAAACUCGGGGCUUAACCCCGGGCCUGCAGUGGGUACGGGCAGACUAGAGUGCGGUAGGGGGAGACUGGAAUUCCUGGUGUAGCGGUGAAAUGCGCAGAUAUCAGGAAGAACACCCGUGGCGAAAGCGGCUCUCUGGAACGGUACUGACGCUGAGACGCGAAAGCGUGGGGAGCGAACAGG
rnacentral:rRNA from 1 species